UAAGGAAUAUUGCGCAAUGGGCGAAAGCCUGACGCAGCGACGCCGCGUGGGGGAUGAAGGUCUUCGGAUUGUAAACCCCUGUCGAAUGGGACGAAUAGCCCGCGAAUUAAUACCUCGUGGGAAUGACGGUACCGUUAAAGGAAGCCACGGCUAACUCUGUGCCAGCAGCCGCGGUAAUACAGAGGUGGCAAGCGUUGUUCGGAAUUACUGGGCGUAAAGGGCGCGUAGGCGGCCAUCUAAGUCAGACGUGAAAUCCCCCGGCUCAACCUGGGAACUGCGUCUGAUACUGGGAGGCUAGAGUUUGGGAGAGGGAUGUAGAAUUCCAGGUGUAGCGGUGAAAUGCGUAGAUAUCUGGAGGAAUACCGGUGGCGAAGGCGGCAUCCUGGACCAAUACUGACGCUGAGGCGCGAAAGCUAGGGGAGCAAACGGGAUUAGAUACCCCCGUAGUCCCUGAGCGGGCUGGCAAGGCGCAU
rnacentral:rRNA from 1 species